rnacentral:rRNA from 1 species
GAUGAACGCUGGCGGCGUGCCUAAUACAUGCAAGUCGAGCGAACAGACGAGGAGCUUGCUCCUCUGACGUUAGCGGCGGACGGGUGAGUAACACGUGGAUAACCUACCUAUAAGACUGGGAUAACUUCGGGAAACCGGAGCUAAUACCGGAUAAUAUAUUGAACCGCAUGGUUCAAUAGUGAAAGACGGUUUUGCUGUCACUUAUAGAUGGAUCCGCGCCGCAUUAGCUAGUUGGUAAGGUAACGGCUUACCAAGGCAACGAUGCGUAGCCGACCUGAGAGGGUGAGCGGCCACACUGGAACAGAACCCGGGUCCAGCCUCCGACGGGAGGCAGCAGUAGGGAAUCUUCCGCAAUGGGCGAAGGCCGGCGGGAGCAACGCCGCGUGAGUGAAAAAGGUCUUCGUAUCUAAAAACUCUUUUAUUGGGAAAAAAAAAAUGUGUAAGUAUCUAUGCACGUCUUGAGGGUACCUAAGAAAAAGCCCACGGCUAAGUCCGGG